AUGCCACUGUCAAUCUAUCUAUCACUGCUAAUCUAUUGCUGCUGCUAAUCUAUCUACUGCUGUCAAUCUAUUUAUCACUGUCAAUCUAUCUAUCACUGCUAAUCUAUUGCUGUUAAUCUAUCACUGCUAAUCUAUUGCUGCUAAUCUAUCUAUCACUGCUAAUCUAUCACUGUCAAUCUAUCUACCACUGCCAAUCUAUCUACCACUGCCAAUCUAUCUACUGCUGCCAAUCUAUCUACCACUGCUAAUCUAUCACUGCUAAUCUAUUGCUGCUAAUCUAUUGCUGCUAAUCUAUCACUGCUAAUCUAUUGCUGCUAAUCUAUCUAUCACUGCUAAUCUAUCACUGCCAAUCUAUCUACUGCUGUCAAUCUAUCUACCACUGCCAAUCUAUCUACCACUGCUAAUCUAUCACUGCUAAUCUAUCACUGCCAAUCUAUAUAGAGUAAAUCAUGAUCCCAUUUGAUUCUAUUUUGUAAAAUGGGAUCAAAUGAGACUGGAACCACUAAUUUAUUAGUAAAACAUGAUCUGAGACUAGAUUUAUAAUAUAAACAGUGUAAAGUGACUAAUUUACUAAACACUAUAUGGGACCAGAACUAAGAUAUCUAAUAAUGAAACUGAG
rnacentral:sRNA from 2 species